CUGUUCUCGUUAGAUCACCAAAGUCAAGCAUCAUUGGGCGCAGUCAGUACUUGGGUGGGUGACCACCUGGGAACACUGCGUGCCGUU